UACCGAGCGUCGCGAGAUGACGGGAUGAGCGUGCAGAAGUCAGCCGAGGCCGAAGUAAGUGGCGAAUAACCGUGUCACCAAGGGC
rfam:Pseudomonas fluorescens HK44 Contig26, whole genome shotgun sequence.